rnacentral:misc_RNA from 1 species
UCUCCGUAGGUGAACCUGCGGAGGGAUCAUUACCGAGUGAGGGUUCCGGCCCGACCUCCAACCCUUUGUGAAUUCGACCCAGUUGCCUCGGGGGCGACCCGGCCUUCGGGCGUCGGGGCCCCCGGCGGACCCCCCAACGCUGCAUCUUUGCGUCCGAGUCUGAUUUGAAUCAAUCAAAACUUUCAACAACGGAUCUCUUGGUUCUGGCAUCGAUGAAGAACGCAGC